GGGAGAGCACCCCUUUCUCCCUACUUUCUCGGCAUUCUGUGAGAUGAUUUAUUGUAGCUAAAAGCUUUGGG
rfam:Pteropus vampyrus cont1.80143, whole genome shotgun sequence.